rnacentral:rRNA from 1 species
ACAUGCAAGUCGAGCGAACGGACGAGAAGCUUGCUUCUCUGAUGUUAGCGGCGGACGGGUGAGUAACACGUGGAUAACCUACCUAUAAGACUGGGAUAACUUCGGGAAACCGGAGCUAAUACCGGAUAAUAUUUUGAACCGCAUGGUUCAAAAGUGAAAGACGGUCUUGCUGUCACUUAUAGAUGGAUCCGCGCUGCAUUAGCUAGUUGGUAAGGUAACGGCUUACCAAGGCAACGAUGCAUAGCCGACCUGAGAGGGUGAUCGGCCACACUGGAACUGAGACACGGUCCAGACUCCUACGGGAGGCAGCAGUAGGGAAUCUUCCGCAAUGGGCGAAAGCCUGACGGAGCAACGCCGCGUGAGUGAUGAAGGUCUUCGGAUCGUAAAACUCUGUUAUUAGGGAAGAACAUAUGUGUAAGUAACUGUGCACAUCUUGACGGUACCUAAUCAGAAAGCCACGGCUAACUACGUGCCAGCAGCCG